UCACUUAACCCUCCAUGUAAAUAUUUAACGUGUUACAUUGGAAGUUUAGAGGCAAUGGUUAACGUUCAGUCCAAUUUGUCUUGGGCAACCCAGAGUAGCAGUAGUUCAUGCCAGGGUGUUUGGUCCAUAAGCUGAAUUUUUGUAAAUCAGUCUUUCAACUAUUAUAACGCUGACAAUAUGAUUUGGUAUACAGAGAAUAAUACGUUGCGGCGGAGCAGUUGAUGAUGACAUGGCAAACACCAUAGUUUCGCAGCUUCUUUACCUUGAUGCUGUUGAUCCUCAAAAGGAUAUUGUCAUGUAUGUAAACUCUCCAGGAGGAUCAGUUACAGCCGGUAAUGCAAUAACUUAUCUUUGUUUUAUGCAAACAUGCCUUGUGUUAUAUAUAUUACAAUCUAUUUGUAGACUUCAAAAAGUUGUAUAAAUUAUAUUGUCAUCCAUCUAUCUUUUUUUAUCUUGACCUUUUCAUGAGCAGUAUAGGUGCUUUUCUGCUUAGCUCUGGGACCAAAGGUAAUGAUUCUCUAAACUUACAAUUGUUCCAUGAUUUUAUUUUUUGUUUUCUCUAUAUGAGAAAAAUUUGGCUUUCUAACAUUUCAUCUAUUCCUCGUUACUAAAGGAAAGAGAUAUAGCUUGCCAAAUUCAAGAAUAAUGAUUCCAGGGACUACAUUUUCUUACUUGAUUUUGUUUAUUUUAUCCCCCUACUAAAGCUUGAAACUAUUGUUGUUUAUCAUUUUUCAGCUGAACCAAAAUGAUGCUAAUCAUGAGAGCAUUAAGAAUGAGAUAAAGAAACAUGAAGAUAACCUUAAAUUCCGUAAUUCUCAAUCAAAUCGACUAGCCGAAUCAAUACUUGACUUACAAGGUGUGUUCAUAAACCAAUCUUUUUUGCUCUUACUUAUUUUGUUCCAUAGGGAACAGGUGACUAGAAUUAAUGAUAACCUGGUAAACUAAUGCAACAUGACAUCAGUACUCAUUGGUUGAAUAAACCAAAACCAGAAUUGCAUAUCAAUUUUUUAUAUCAAUGUUUACAUAGAUAAUAGAUCAAUAAAGUAGCUCUGUUCUGUUGUAUCCUAAUUUGAAUUCAAAUGUACACUGUUGGGGUACUCAUUUUCUGCCCAACGUGAAUCCUAAUUUGAAUUCAAAUGUACACUCAUGCAUUCCUAUUUUCUAACACCAAAUUACAGAUUAAAUAUUCUUUUGAAUGAGAAGAACUUGUCCCAUGAUGGGUUUGUCUUACUUUACUUAGCUUGUUUAUAUAUUUAAUUUGCUACUUUGAUUAAUAUGAUGUGAGUAAGUAAUAUUCUACGUAUGGUGUGGAAUGAAUGCUUUCUAUUUUGAUUAGUUAAUCUAUUUUUAAAAAGUGUGGCUGAAAUGAUUCUUUGGUAACGGAGGGAUGCUCUACAAUCUAUAUACAUGCAUGGAUUUUUUCUUAUUCAUUAAAAUUAUCAUAGUAGUGACAAUCACCAAAUUUAACUCAAUUCAAUUUGCUGUGAGACUCAUACUGCAUGGGGAAAAUGCAGCAAGUACAUGAAUUAGUUUCAAAAUCAUAUGUAAUGCACAUUCACCACUACUAUUAUUUUGUCAAAAUUAUAGAUCAACACUUGGUCCAAAAAUGUCUUGCUAAUCUCAAUCACUCUGUUUCGUUCUCUGUUUUGGGUCAAACACUAUUAUUGUUCUUCUAUCACCGAGGAUUGGUACUUCUUUGGGUCAAAAAAAGCUUGGCUAAUGAGUUUCAGACAGAGUGUUGACCAAAAACGCCAAGAAGAAGAGAGUACAGCCAAUGAGUUUCAGAUUGACUAUUCUAAUUAAGGUUGUGAAUUUGAAAUUAAGAUAUUGAUCAAGUGAUUGAAGCAAGCAAUCAUGCAAGAUUAUGGUGAGGAUUGCAUAGAGUUGGUCGUACUGAAUAUACAAACUAAUUUGCCUUGGUUUGUCUUCUGUUGUUCAUGUAUUUGUGGGUGAAUUUAUUUUCUAUUCUUUAUUCAAUCUAUUAACCGGAAUUCAUAUAAAAGUACAGGCUCUUAUGAAAAAUUCAACUGAUGCCAUGAAGGAAUCAAGGGUCCCUGAGAUUUUAUAUUUGAUGGAGGCACUCUCAUAUAAAAAAGAGGACUUCGAAGAGUUCUGUGCCGCUGCAAUCAGUGUAUACCAGCUGCAUCUGAUUGUCAACACUCUUUUAUCCUUUUCUUUUCUGCAUAUAAAUUGUUCAUAGCAUCUAAUCCUUUUCUUUAAUUUUCUGUUUUACCUUUUAAUACAGUAUUGACAAGCAGCUCCCACAUCAAAAAUUUUAUGACGAUCUUGAUGACUCGCAUGAUUAUUUAGAGGAGUAUGAAUAGGUUAUUUAAUUACUUUGAAUAUUUUGUAU